GUCUGUAGUAAGAAUUUGUUCUGUGUCAGGCUUGGGCUAGAAGCUUUACGAAUAGGACAGCAUUUGAUCCUCGCUGCAUCGCUGUGAGCCCUUAUCCUGCUCACCUAAAAGACUGGCAAUGAGUUUCACCAAACUUCUGGGACACCUUACCUGACAUUAGCAUCCUUGAACUGGAUCAAAUGCCCAUUUUUGGACUUAGUACCUGGCAAAGAAAUUGAAGAUUGCACAAUAGUUUGGAUCAAUCAAUCAUGGUUUAUCUCCUGGACUGGGCACUUUGUCACCUGAAUGAAACUGACGUUUUAUUAACAAGGGAGAAGGGAGGAGUGACCCCUAGGGAGGCUGUGGUCGGUGUCUGUUAGAGCAAUACUGCACGCCAGCAGGGAUGCAUGUGACCUUUCCACACUGAACCUGCUCAUCAGGGCUCUUCCCUCGGCCUCGUAGGAGCCAGAAGGAGCCUUCUCUCCCUCUGGCUGACGGCUGUAGAUAGCAGCGUAUUGUUCCAUAAUGGAUCUGAAGAUGCAGGCAUCCGGUGAUCAGAGCUGGGACCUUUGGGAACAUGGCCGCAGCUAACUCAAAGGAAACAAAAAGGUGCACUUGCGUUAGAAGACUGUGCAUUACAAUGUGGCAAGUCAGUAGGUGUCAAAAUCUGGUUCUGUCAUUAUCUGUGAUAUAAAAUUUGACGAUAACCUC